rnacentral:rRNA from 1 species
UACGUAGGUUGCAAGCGUUGUCCGGAAUUAUUGGGCGUAAAGAGCUCGUAGGCGGUUUGUUUCGUCCUCUUUGAAAUCCCGAGGCUCAACCUCGGGUCUGCAGUCGAUACGAGCAAACUAGAGUGUUGCAGGGGAGACUGGAAUUCCUGGUGUAGCGGUGAAAUGCGCAGAUAUCAGGAGGAACACCGGUGGCGAAGGCGGGUCUCUGGGCAACAACUGACGCUGAGGAGCGAAAGCGUGGGGAGCGAACAGG